UACGGAGGGUGCGAGCNUUAAUCGGAAUUACUGGGCGUAAAGCGCACGUAGGCUGUUACGUAAGUCAGGGGUGAAAGCCCACGGCUCAACCGUGGAAUUGCCUUUAAUACUGCGCGGCUUGAAUCCGGGAGAGGGUGGCGGAAUUCCAGGUGUAGGAGUGAAAUCCGUAGAUAUCUGGAGGAACACCAGUGGCGAAGGCGGCCACCUGGACCGGUAUUGACGCUGAGGUGCGAAAGCNUGGGGAGCAAACAGGAUUAGAUACCCUGGUAGUCCACGCUAUAAACGAUGGAUGCUG
rnacentral:rRNA from 1 species